rnacentral:rRNA from 1 species
AGUAUUAAAGGUCUGCCUGCCCAGUGAAACUUUUUAACGGCCGCGGUAUUCUAACCGUGCAAAGGUAGCGUAAUCAUUUGUCUUCUAAAUAAAGACCAGUAUGAAUGGCUAAAUGAGGAUAAACCUGUCUCCUGCAACCUAUCAGUGAAAUUGAUCUUCCAGUCCAAAAGCUGGAAUACUUACAUAAGACGAGAAGACCCUGUGGAGCUUAAGCCCGCCUGCUAAUAAACAAAUAAUGCACAUAGCAAGAGGGUUUAAGUUGGGGCGACUUCGGAACAAAAAAUAACUUCCGAGCACAGAACCACACAUUCUAACUAAGGUUAACAAACCAAAGCAAAAUUUGACCCAGUCAAACUGAUUAACGAACCAAGUUACCCCAGGGAUAACAGCGCCAUCUUCUUCAAGAGUCCAUAUCGACAAGAAGGUUUACGACCUCGAUGUUGGAUCAGGGCACCCAAAUGGUGCAGCCGCUAUUAAAGGUUCGUUU